rnacentral:misc_RNA from 1 species
GAAAUGUGAUAAGUAAUGUGAAUUGCAGAAUUCAGUGAAUCAUCGAAUCUUUGAACGCAUCUUGCGCUCCUUGGUAUUCCGAGGAGCAUGCUUGUUUGAGUGUCAUGAAUUCUUCAACCUACACUUUUUCUUAGUAAAUUGAGUAGUGUUUGGAUUUUGAGCGCUUGCUAGUCUCACGACUUGGCUCGCUCGUAAUAUAUUAGCAAUUCUAAUCAAUAAUUGGAUUGACUCGGUGUAAUAGACUAUUCGCUGAGGAGUACUUGCUUGCAAGUGGCCAAAUAUUAACCUGACUUUGCUGCUAAUCAGACUUUUCUAGUCAACUUUUAAGAUUAGACCUCAAAUCAAGUAGGACUACCAGCUGAACUUAA